GCUAGAUAAGGAGCUUACAAGAAUGAAGCAGUUGUGAUGUGAUUCAAUAGGGAAUAGGUGGGGCCUUGGCAAACCAAAGAACAUAUUCUAUCUAAAGUGGAUGGCCACAACUUGCUCCAGCUGUGGAAACUUGGGCCAUGUACUGCUAGAUCUAAGGAUUUUCUUUUGAGAGAUGCUAGAUAUAUACAUUUUUUAAAAAUAAAAUUAUCCUGAUUUUAACAACAUUGCCU
rnacentral:lncRNA from 10 species